rnacentral:rRNA from 1 species
GAUGAACGCUGGCGGCGUGCCUAAUACAUGCAAGUCGAGCGAACGGACGAGAUACUUGCUUUUCUGAUUUUAGCGGCGGACGGGGGAGUAACACGUGGAUAACCUACCUAUAAGACUGGGAUAACUUCGGGAAACCGGAGCUAAUACCGGAUAAUAUUUUGAACCGCAUGGUUCAAAAGUGAAAGACGGUCUUGCUGUCACUUAUAGAUGGAUCCGCGCUGCAUUAGCUAGUUGGUAAGGUAACGGCUUACCAAGGCAACGAUGCAUAGCCGACCUGAGAGGGGGUUCGGCCAAACUGGAACUGGGACACGGUCCAGACUCUACGGGAGGCAGCAGUAGGGAAUCUUCCGCAAUGGGCGAAAGCCUGACGGAGCAACGCCGCGUGAGUGAUGAAGGUCUUCGGAUCGUAAAACUCUGUUAUUAGGGAAGAACAUAUGUGUAAGUAACUGUGCACAGCUUGACGGUACCUAAUCAGAAAGCCACGGCUAACUACGUG